rnacentral:misc_RNA from 2 species
CAACCCUUAAGCCUAGCUUAGUGUUGGGAGUCCACUGUAUUGUGGUUCCUGAAAAACAACGGCGGAUUCGCAGUAUCCUCUGAGCGUAGUAAUUUUUCUAAAAUCUCGCUUUGGUUAGGUGCUGUGGCUCUUGCCGCUAAACCCCCAAUUUCUUAU